rnacentral:lncRNA from 1 species
AAAAGAACUAAACAGAGAUUUCUUCAAAGAAAAAACACAAAUUGCCAAAAGUAUAUGAAAAAUGUUCAAAUUCUCUAGCAAUGGGAGAUAUGCAAAUCAAAACUACACUAAGAUUUCAUCUCACUCUAGUCAGAAUGGCAGUGGUUAAGAAUAUAAACAACAAUAAAUGCUGGCAAAGUUGUGGGGGAAAAGGAACGCUUCUACAUUGUUGGUGGGAAUGAAGACUAGUAGAACUACUCUGUAAACAGUAUGGAGAUUCCUCAAAACUAGGAAUAAACCACUACAUGACUUAGCUAUUGCUCUCCUUCACAUUUUCCCAAAAGAUCGAAAAUCAGCAUACUGCAGCAAUACAGCACCUGAAUGUUUGUAGCAGUACAAUUCAAAAUAGCUAAAUUCAUAAUGUACUUGAUUCCAUGAGUAAACCUGGUGCCUGCCAAAUGUUGAAUGGAUUAAAAAUUGUGACACACACACACAUACACACACACACACAGGAGUAUUACUCAGUGGUAAAAAAAAAAAAAGAAUGAAAUUUUGGCAUUUAUCAGCAAAUGAAUAAAAAAAAUGGAGAGUAUCAUGCUAAGUGAAAUAAGCCAAACUCAAAAACUGAAAAGCUUGAAUGUUUUCUCUCUUAUGUGAAAGCUAGAGUAAAAUAAAGGAAAGGAGGAGGGAAGAAUAGGAUAACAUGAAGAAUCAAUCAAAUACAAAUUAAUAGGAGUGAAAGAAAGUCUAGUAGAACAAAGGAAAAGAAGGGGAAAGGGGAG